GAUGAACGCUGGCGGCGUGCUUAACACAUGCAAGUCGAACGGAAAGGCUCCUGCUUGCUGGGGUACUCGAGUGGCGAACGGGUGAGUAACACGUGGGUGAUCUGCCCUGCACUUCGGGAUAAGCCUGGGAAACUGGGUCUAAUACCGGAUAGGACGAUGGUUUGGAUGCCAUUGUGGAAAGUUUUUCGGUGUGGGAUGAGCUCGCGGCCUAUCAGCUUGUUGGUGGGGUAAUGGCCUACCAAGGCGUCGACGGGUAGCCGGCCUGAGAGGGUGUACGGCCACAUUGGGACUGAGAUACGGCCCAGACUCCUACGGGAGGCAGCAGUGGGGAAUAUUGCACAAUGGGCGCAAGCCUGAUGCAGCGACGCCGCGUGGGGGAUGACGGCCUUCGGGCUGUAAACUCCUUUCGCUAGGGACGAAGCGUGAGUGACGGUACCUGGAGAAGAAGCACCGGCUAACUACGUG
rnacentral:rRNA from 1 species